UACGUAGGGUGCAAGCGUUGUCCGGAAUUAUUGGGCGUAAAGAGCUCGUAGGCGGUCUGUCGCGUCUGCUGUGAAAACUCAGGGCUUAACCCUGAGCUUGCAGUGGGUACGGGCAGACUAGAGUGCGGUAGGGGAGACUGGAAUUCCUGGUGUAGCGGUGAAAUGCGCAGAUAUCAGGAGGAACACUGAUGGCGAAGGCAGGUCUCUGGGCAUUAACUGACGCUGAGGAGCGAAAGCAUGGGGAGCGAACAGG
rnacentral:rRNA from 1 species